UACGUAGGGUGCAAGCGUUGUCCGGAAUUAUUGGGCGUAAAGAGCUCGUAGGCGGUUUGUUGCGUCUGCUGUGAAAACUCGGGGCUUAACCCCGGGCCUGCAGUGGGUACGGGCAGACUAGAGUGCGGUAGGGGAGACUGGAAUUCCUGGUGUAGCGGUGAAAUGCGCAGAUAUCAGGAGGAACACCGGUGGCGAAGGCGGGUCUCUGGGCCGUAACUGACGCUGAGGAGCGAAAGCGUGGGGAGCGAACAGG
rnacentral:rRNA from 1 species